UGGGGGAUCGUCCAGCGGCAGGACAGCGGCCUUUGGAGCCGUUAACCCAGGUUCGAAUCCUGGUCCCCCAGCCA
rnacentral:tRNA from 1 species